CGCACCUUGCACUCCGUGGUUUACCACGGAGUACGCCCGUUCGAGUGUCACGUUAACCCUCGCCGAAGAGUCAGCAAUGGCUCUGACGCGGACCUGGGCGCUGCCGUAGUGGCUCGCCUUAAAUGCAUUAGCGAGUGUGGAAGCACGACGGCGUGAUAAUGUCUCGUCCAUGAGUGUGGAAGCGCUGCUUCGAAUCGUCCGGCGUCCGGACAAUUAACCCCAAGUUUGACCUCGGAUCGGGUGGGACUACCCGCUGAACUUAA
rnacentral:misc_RNA from 1 species